UAUUACAUGAUACGGUUAUUUACUGUUUGUCACGAUAAUAAAACCGGAAAUAGUGUAUAGAAAUAAAAAUAAAAAUAACAUUAACAGGAGCUCAGACAAUAUGCAGAAGUCAACUAUCAUACGUACAUAUAAGUAUAUGAUAAACUUGUCCCUGGCCUAUAUAUUGCACAAACUCUCUAUCCGCAAUUGCAUAACCAUUCUGUUCUAUCGAUAGUAUAGAGUUCAUACGGUGUAUGCUCCAUGUACUCGUUUAUGCAACUUAAACGGUAUGUUUAUAAAUAAGGUGCAACAGAGUUAAGUUGAAAGACGACAUAGCUAAGUUUACAAAUGUGCAUGAUAGGAUACUAAUAUAAAUACGAGAAAGUGCAUUCGUGUAUAUUAGAUUUCACUCGCCAGUCAGCGUUGCAUUAUUUUUAAAUAUUAUUAAAUUAUCAUCCAUCAUUAAUCAUCAAGUUUUUGAGCUGCACGUUUUUUGUAGCUUCCAACUCUCGGAAGAGUUUACUGCUGUAUGCUAAUAAAUGUUAAUGUUUAGAUCAACAAACUUGAGUGUAUAUUCUGCUGAGAAAGCAAUAGAGAAAUAAAAUACAAACUACAAAGUAUUAAGAAGAUAUCUUCCUUAUGAUUACAUAGAACGGGGGUAAGGGAAAGGGAAUAGUCUGCAAACUGCAAGCCCGCCGAAGCAAAAGAUUAACAAACUACCUAACCAAUCAGAAUAAAAUCAGAGGAAAUUUAAGCCCUGUUAGAAUAAAAUCCGGACCUGCGCGCUGGUUGCCGUAUAUACUCAAGAAGGUCAACGUACCUCGGCCAAGGACACAUUCUGGUCCCGCACAAGACACGCACAGCUAUUCGGGCCCCACUAUAGGACUCCAGGAUGCCGGUACACGGGUACUCCUUACAUGCGUUAAAAUACACAAGCCUUGAUAAUGAUAAGAACACCAUUUUCGCAAUGCAAUCUUCCACAUGCAUGGACAUGAUGGAUGUAUCUUUGAUAACAGCCAAUAACAGGUUCUAAAGACUGUAAUUUAUUUUCUUCAUCAAUACUAUCUGAAGACGUUAACUUUAUACUUGGCAAUUGUACUUGAGAUAUCCAUUUUGUUUAUAUUGUAUAGCAUACCAUACGGUAGAAAAAGAAUAAAUUUCAUCCGAAGAUUGUUUUCAAAAUGAUUAUCUAUCUUAGUAUACAACGUAAGCGGAAAACUUUUUAAUAAACAUUAUGCUAUCCAGAAUGAUUUAACACGAUUCAGAACCGAGGACUUUUUAAUCAACUUACUUUAUAGACACUUAUUAUUAAAGAGUAAAUCAAGAUUAAAAAAAGAAGCUGAAUAAAAGACCCUGACAAACUGCACCUCGUCCAACACUCAAUAUGAAUAAUGUAACAGAUGAGGUUGAGAGAAUUCAUAAGAGAUUGUGGUAGAAAGAGUUGAAGGGAAAUAGAAAAAUUACCAAAACUUGUAAAGCAAGGUAGCUGAAGAAUAUAUCUAGAUGGCUACCGUCGAAAAAAAAAAAUAAGAAAGUAAAUAACUUUUUAGCUUAUGAUGAAUAAAAUGAGUAAGCGAAAAUAAAGAACAUGAAAUUGUUUAAUAAUGUAUAAUAUAGUAACCUUAUACCGGGCGAAUACUUAAUUUAAUUAUUUACCAGAGUAUCUUCCCAGAUAAUUUCAGAAAUUAAAUUUUUUAAACGUUCUUUUUUA